UGACGACGAUGACAAGGAGGAGGCGGA
rnacentral:sRNA from 1 species